rnacentral:rRNA from 1 species
AUUGAACGCUGGCGGCAGGCCUAACACAUGCAAGUCGAGCGGAUGAAGGGAGCUUGCUCCUGGAUUCAGCGUCGGACGGGUGAGUAAUGCCUAGGAAUCUGCCUGGUAGGGGGGGAUAACGUCCGGAAACGGGCGCUAAUACCGCAUACGUCCUGAGGGAGAAAGUGGGGGAUCUUCGGACCUCACGCUAUCAGAUGAGCCUAGGUCGGAUUAGCUAGUUGGUGGGGUAAAGGCCUACCAAGGCGACGAUCCGUAACUGGUCUGAGAGGAUGAUCAGUCACACUGGAACUGAGACACGGUCCAGACUCCUACGGGAGGCAGCAGUGGGGAAUAUUGGACAAUGGGCGAAAGCCUGAUCCAGCCAUGCCGCGUGUGUGAAGAAGGUCUUCGGAUUGUAAAGCACUUUAAGUUGGGAGGAAGGGCAGUAAGUUAAUACGUUGCUGUUUUGACGUUACCGACAGAAUAAGCACCGGCUAACUUCGUG